AUCUUAAGCGCAUCUUUCUUUGAUAGCAAAAGUGUUGGCACAUCGUCCCAUCUUCCGCCCGCAAAUCUCGCCGCCGACUGCAAGGCAACUCCGUCCCAAGAAACCCUCACGCAGUCACCUCCUUCCCCCCACGAUCUCUCCUCUACAUCUCUCACUCGACCCGCUGCCAGCAAUCACCUCGGCACUGCCACCGCUUUACCUGUCGUCUCCAGCGCCGCUGUCCUCUCUCUCUUCCCCAUUGCCUUUCCGCUUCCACAAGGGACCAUCCCUCCGCCACCACACCCGUCAUCUUCACCAUCUAGCACCAUGGCGACUGUAUCUGUUGCGGCGUCGAUGACUACCAUGGGCACGCUGGCGCGGUAUGGUGGGUGAUGGCCUGAUGGGCUUGGUGUAACAAUCUUGUUUUUCCAAUUCGCGGCAAGGCUCACGCACAGGUAUGGUUAGCUUCAUGUAGGAGCAGCGAUGGCAUUGUCGACGCAGCGGGCCGCAGCUGAGAUGGGGGCACAUGGUCAAGGUAGAGAUCCCUGCCAUCUUCAAUUUUGUACAUGAGAUCCAUGAUCCAUCGGUUAACUAGACGAGAUUUGGGAUUGGUUUUUUCUUGGACUCCUCCCGAUUGCAAGGAUUCGAGUUUUCGGUGGAUUGCCUUGUCGACGCAGCGGACCGCAACUGAGAUGGGGGCACACGGGCAAGGGCAUAGUCACGUCAGUAAUCGGGUGCCUGAUAUUGGCAUGCUGUGUGGAGAAGAAGGGGAUUUUCACCAACGCCUUCAGCUUUCUAUCACGGAUGUUCGCCACCAACCCUUUACCGGAAGCGUGUUGGAUUCAACGCUUGUGAUUAUGUGUCUCUACCUUGAACUACCGAGCAAGAAAUAGGAACAAAUAACUGGGCAUGCGAUGCACCCUGGUGAGAACUUUCAAGAAUA